UGGGGAAUUUUGGACACUGGGGGAAACCCUGAUCCAGCCAUCCCGCGUGUGCGAUGAAGGCCUUCGGGUUGUAAAGCACUUUUGGCAGGAAAGAAACGUCAUGGGUUAAUACCCCGUGAAACUGACGGUACCUGCAGAAUAAGCACCGGCUAACUACGUGCCAGCAGCCGCGGUAAUACGUAGGGUGCAAGCGUUAAUCGGAAUUACUGGGCGUAAAGCGUGCGCAGGCGGUUCGGAAAGAAAGAUGUGAAAUCCCAGAGCUCAACUUUGGAACUGCAUUUUUAACUACCGGGCUAGAGUGUGUGAGAGGGAGGUGGAAUUCCGCGUGUAGCAGUGAAGUGCGUAGAUAUGCGGAGGAACACCGAUGGCGAAGGCAGCCUCCUGGGAUAACACUGACGCUCAUGCACGAAAGCGUGGGGAGCAAACAGG
rnacentral:rRNA from 1 species